CAGGUGUGCACGUACAGUAAUGUACUGAGCUAACUGAUACUAAUUGCCCGUAAGGCUUGAUCCUAUAACA
rnacentral:rRNA from 1 species